AUGAAUAAUAUUAGAAGAAGGAGUACUGUAUACUUUAUCCACAGGGAGUUAAGGCAAGUGAAAACUUAACGUGUCGGUAUAUAGGAAAAACAUCUUCGUUAUUUCUGGCUGAAAUGCGUCUUUAAAAGUAGAGUAGGUACAGACGUGACCCAAUGCGUUACAAUUGGAGAGUAUAUUUAUGUACUUUGAGGUGUUUUUUUAAAAAAACUUGGGUGGUACCGCGGAAAAGAUCUUUCGUCCCUUUU
rnacentral:ncRNA from 1 species